AAUCUACAGGUCGAGCAAGUCUCGUAAAUUUCACGAUUGCGAGCCACGCUUCACGCAACCGUGUUUGCGUACUUGUGUUUCGAGUUGCGUGGUCGUGCGGAGUUAUAUUUACCAAAUUUAAAUAUAAUAUAAUCGUUUUCAAAAUUAAAUCAAUAUGGCUACUGGGUGUAAAAGAUAAAUCUUAUUCUAUCUGUUCUUAAUGAGUUUUAGAUAAUUUUAGUUGUAUUUCUUUGUAAUUUUGUGUUGUACAAAGAUUAAUUUAACAUUUUCUCUGGAAGUAUUAAUUUAGAAAGAUAAUAUGCUUCAUUGGUGUUGUGUUUUGAAGUGUGAAAUGCAAAGUAAUUGUGAUAGUUAAAUGCAAGAUAAAGUUCACUUUUAAACUGAACUAAAUAAGGUAUCUGAGAGACAACAAUGGUUAAAUGCAAUACAAUGUACAGGUUUUACUAGCGAAAUGAAAAUUUUCCUGUCCUGUCUGCUGUAAUCAUUUUAUAUCUGGAAAACCAGCCGACUUAAUCGAUAAUAACAAUCUCCAGAUUGGGUUCCUUCAAUAAAUAUGGUCUAUAAACACAAUGAAAUAAGUUCCCCAAACUCUAAAAUGGAGUGGUAUCAAAGGAGAAUUAAAGGGAAAAAUAUUCAUAUUGAAAUUAUUUAUAAGGCACUGGACUGUCUUAAAUUCUACAAUAAUACUAGAAUCAGCUGAGAGAAGUGGUCUACAAAAAACCAUGAAGGAAACGGAAUAUGUGGCUACGAAAGGCAAAAGAAAGGUUUACAAAGCAAAUGUGACACAUCUUUUUGAAAUAUUUAGGAAUAUCAGUAAAUUGCAUUGAAAAAAUGUAUGAAAAGAUUUUGUUCAAUAAAAAUGUUUAUAUUUA
rnacentral:lncRNA from 1 species